rnacentral:rRNA from 1 species
AGCAGCCACAGUAAUUCCAGCUCCAAUAGCGUAUAUUAAAGUUGUUGCAGUUAAAAAGCUCGUAGUUGAAUUUCAGGGUCAGUAAGGUUGGUCGUGCCACUGGUAUGUACUGGUUUCACUGAUUCCUCCUUCCUGAAGAACCGUAAUGCCAUUAAUUUGGUGUUGCGGGGAAACAGGACUGUUACUUUGAAAAAUUAGAGUGUUUAAAAGCAGGCUAACGCUUGAAUACAUUAGCAUAGAAUAAUGAAAUAGGACGAUCGAUCCUAUUUUGUUAGUUUCUAGGAUUGACGUAAUGAUUAAUAGGGAUAGUUGGGGGCAUUAGUAUUCAAUUGUCAGAGGUGAAAUUCUUGGAUUUAUUGAAGACUAACUACUGCGAAAGCAUUUGCCAAGGAUGUUUUCAUUAAUCAAGAACGAAAGUUAGGGGAUUGAAGACGAUCAGAUACCGUCGUAGUCUUAACCAUAAACUAUGCCGAUUAGGGAUCGGAUGAUGUUAAUUUUAUAAUGACUCAUUCGCGU